UACGUAGGGACCAAGCGUUGUCCGGAAUCACUGGGCGUAAAGGGCGCGUAGGCGGCCUGAUAAGUAGGGGGUGAAAUCCUGUGGCUUAACUGCAGGGCUGCCUCCUAGACUGUUAGGCUCGAGCACGGUAGAGGCAGAUGGAAUUCCCGGUGUAGCGGUGGAAUGCGUAGAGAUCGGGAAGAACAUCGGUGGCGAAGGCGGUCUGCUGGGCCGUUGCUGACGCUGAGGCGCGACAGCGGUGGGGAGCAAACAGG
rnacentral:rRNA from 1 species